UGGGUUGAGUAAAGACCACCUGUCCCUGGAUAUGGUCGACCCGGUGUAAUGUCAACCUUGUUGACAAUCGUGGUUGAAUCACCUUCGAACGAUUCCAUUUAAAAGAAGCUGUGCGCGAAAUCAAGUCUGUGUAGAUAACAAUUCAUUGAAAAGAAUAAUGCAACAUGAUACACACACGGAUACCCGACAUAGAACGUGCAGAAAAGGGCUAUACUGGGGAAUAUUGGCUUGAGGUCAUGGCAGUAUGAACUAUGUGCAGCAAGCUCUAUACAAGAAUGACUAAGGCCCAACACUCUCCGGUACAACUUGAGCAAGAACCUGUGGAAGGUGAUCUGCAUACAGAAUUCAAUAUUUUACAGAAAAGCACUGUUUUUACAAAGAAAAGAUCCAGGAGGCAGAGGCUACCAGCUGCAAGGGAAAGGAGUUCAUUAAGAAGUCUUAUAAAUUUUAUGAAGUCAGUUGUUGGAAAGGAUCUAACAAAAGUAACAAUGCCAGUUCAUUUCAAUGAGCCACUGUCAUUUCUACAAAGACUGGCAGAAGAUUUAGAGUAUGCUGAUGUUUUAAACAGAGCAUCAUUUUGCAAAAAUUCAUUGGUACUGCUGGCUCAUGUGGCAGCCUUUGCCAGUUCAACAUAUUCUACAGUACUGGGAAGGUUCUGGAAACCUUUCAACCCACUUCUGGGAGAAACAUUUGAAUUUAUUAACCCCACUGCUGGAUAUGCCCUAAUAGCAGAGCAGGUAUCACAUCAUCCUCCUAUCUCAGCCCUUCAUGCAGAAUCUGAUCACUGGAUUUUCUGGCAGGAAUAUAAGCUUGAUACUAAAUUUAGGGGACAGUUUUUUAAGGUGAUUCCAACCGGAAUGUGUCACGUGAAGUUUAAAGCAGAUGGUCAUCACUUUACAUGGCAGAAGCCAAUCACAACAAUUCACAACAUCCUUGUUGGCAGUCUCUAUGUAGAUCAGGAAGGAGAUGUUGUGGUGACAAAUCACUCAACGCAAGAGCAAUGUAGACUUCACUUUCAACCUGUAAGGGAAGUCCAAGAGAACUUCAAAAAGCUUUCAGGUGAAGUGCUAAAUUCAGAGGGUCAUGUGAAAUAUAACAUUGUUGGAGCAUGGGACCGUGGCCUUGAAUUGCAUUCUGUAGAUGACACAGACAUGGAUCCUAUUGACCUGUGGACUGCAAACACUAAACCUGAAGAUUCCUGGAGAUAUUAUGGCUUCACACAAUUUUCAAUUCAAUUAAAUGAUCCAGAAUAUGCUUGAGAUACUUAAAUAGCCUUUUUCCAUAGACGUUUCAUGCCACACCGACUGUCGAGUCAGGACAGAUAUUCGGCUCCUGGAAUGUGGAAAGAUUGAUCCUUCUGCCAGCGAAAAGCAUCGCCUAGAGGA
rnacentral:misc_RNA from 1 species